AAGCAAACGAAAAUGGAAUCUAUCUAUAAAUCUAUCUAUAUAUAUAUAUAUAGUUGUAUAAACGCUUAUUGUUCCCCUAGUUCGCUAGUUGGUCGCAGCUGUUGGCCUUGGCAACUUUCGUACAAUGAAAUCUUUUUUAGCUUGGCCUAAUAAAAUCCUUUUAACGCACAAAAGCAAUUUCAGUCUAAUCUUGUAGUGGCAAAGGAGGCAGCUUAGCCUGGUCGAAUCAAAGCAGAGGAUAUUACAAGAUGAAGCUGAAGAAAAGCUUAAGCAGAAGGAAAAUAAGUGAGGAAUCACGGAUGCCAUAGCGAUUGCCAAAUGCUCUUUUCACAAUAUACAGCAUGUGAUAAUAUAAACUUAAAU
ensembl:ncRNA lncRNA:CR43937 long non-coding RNA:CR43937